GGAUAACCAUUGGAAACGAUGGCUAAUACCGCAUAAAUGCCUACGGGCCAAAGAGGGGGACCUUCGGGCCUCUCGCGUCAGGAUAUGCCUAGGUGGGAUUAGCUAGUUGGUGAGGUAAGGGCUCACCCAAGGCGACGAUCCCUAGCUGGUCUGAGAGGAUGAUCAGCCACACUGGAACUGAGACACGGUCCAGACUCCCUACGGGAGGCAGCAGUGGGGAAUAUUGCACAAUGGGCGCAAGCCUGAUGCAGCCAUGCCGCGUGUGUGAAGAAGGCCUUCGGGUUGUAAAGCACUUUCAGUCGUGAGGAAGGUAGUGUAGUUAAUAGCUGCAUUAUUUGACGUUAGCGACAGAAAGAAGCACCGGCUAACUCCGUGCCAGCAGCCGCGGUAAUACGGAGGGUGCGAGCGUUAAUCGGAAUUACUGGGCGUAAAGCGCAUGCAGGUGGGUUUGUU
rnacentral:rRNA from 1 species